GAGCGCAGGGUGGAUGCCUUGGCACUGAGAGCCGAUGAAAGACGUGAUAAGCUGCGAUAAGCUGCGGCAAGGAGCAAAUAUCCCAUGACCCGCAGAUCUCUGAAUGGGGAAACCCACAUGAGCAAUCCUCAUGUACCGUAUACUGAAUAAAGAGUUAAAACUCUGAAUAGGUAUGCGGAGGGAACCCGGUGAACUGAAACAUCUAAGUAGCCGGAGGAAAAGAAAGAAACUAUUCGAUAUCCUUAGUAGCGGCGAGCGAAAAGGACAGAGCCCAAACCAGUGUGCGUGCACAUUGGGGUUCGGACUGCAUAAUUGACCUCUAACUGUUAGCAGAACGGUCCUGGAAAGACCGGCCAGAGAUGGUGAAAGCCCAGUAAGCGAAAACAGAAGGAGCAUGGCAGGAUCCAGAGUACCACGAGACACGUGAAACCUUGUGGGAAUGAGCGGGGACCACCCCGUAAGGCUAAAUACUACUCAGUGACCGAUAGCGCAUAGUACUGUGAAGGAAAGGUGAAAAGAACCCCGGGAGGGGAGUGAAAGAGAACCUGAAACCCUGUGUUU
rnacentral:ncRNA from 1 species